UCCUCGCCCGUGCUCAGGGGCUGCCUCGCCCCGGGCCGGGAGCGCGUCCGGCCCCCGCCUUCUCCUGGGCCAACACAUCCCCUGGAGCCCGGCCCGGGGCGGAAAAGCGGCCGAAUUCCAGGGAACUCGCUCAAGUCCCCCCAGGGACACCAGCGGGGCUGGGGGAGGAGGGUUAUAAACAGCAAAGUCUGUGGAAUAUCAACCUGUCCUUGUCCCGAUCCCGCUGAGUAAACCUGGAACCGUGGCUGCUUCCUGGCAAACGUGGCGUUAAAGCAGCAGCUCUGCGGGGGAAGAUCCGGGCUCCAGGAGGCACUGGGAGGCUUUUCCAGCAGGAAUUCGGCAUGGAAUUGCGGGCUGUAGGGACACUGACCCUUAUUUGGUCCUGCUCUCCCACGGUUCAUUUUGGGGGAUUGGUUUGUGCUGGUUUACAUUCCACGACUCCACCCACAGCUGGAGGCGAAUUGUGCACAAGCCAGUCCCCCAUUCCCUAUCCAGGCUGGGAGUGCUCGUGCCCUUGGCACAGUUGGCUCUGGCUGGGCAGGAACUGAGAGCAGGACACGGGAUAGAGCGGAUCAGCUGCCCAGGGAACCUCCAGGAGAUGAAGCUACGGGAUCCUCAUUCCAAUCAAGGGAACACAUUCUGUCUCUGGCAGAGCCCCCUGCCCAUGGCUGGCAAAUCAGGGCCAGGGCUCGGCCUCGCUGCAGCCGCCCCACACGGGAACAACUCAGGGCUCAGACCAACAUUUCCCUGCUUGGCCACUGCAGAGACCCUCAGGUCACCUCAACACCUUCCUUCUCUUCCCAGCAGGUUUCCCCAGCUGGGAGCUGCAAGGAAUUCAGGCCAGGGAAUGGACAGCAGGGAACAGCUGUACAUGCAAAGGCAGAAAGAGAAGGUCUGUCAGCAAAAGGCACAAAGAAGGGGACAGGCUUCAGAAAACAUUUCUGCAAUCUAAUGAAGAACUCUUUCCAGUUUCCCAGGGAGAAGAACAGGAACUCACAGCCACCAAGGCCUGACAGUCCCCUGCAGCCAGAGCUCAGCACACAGCCAGAGAGGCAAUUCCAGCAUCUAAAAGGAAAAAAAAGAACAAAAAAAGUGAUUUAUUUUGGUUUAAAGUUACUUUAAGUUGUUCCAAGCAAA